GAAGUCAGCCUCCGGCCAUGGCGGAUCUGCAGACGCCGCUGGUGCAACCAAAGAGGAAGAAGGUUCUGGUGGACUACCUGCUACGGUUUGCUUCAGCUCGUGCGUAUAGGAGGUGGAUGCCCACACGGAUCCAGCGUCUCCGACCUUGGCAUCCACAAGGAGGAGCGGCGACAAUUACAUACCCAACCAUGGGGCAGCAGCAAUUCAUGGUUGAGCCUCCCUCUACCUCUCUCAUGUUCCCUGAUUUUGCUGCUGCUCUAAAUUCACUUUCACUUGACUGAAUCUAGUGCUACUGCUAUCAGUCCCUAGUCCCUAGUGCUACUAGUACCUAGUACUACUGCUCUAAAUUCACUUGCAUGUUUGACUAAAUUCACUUGGUAUUGCACUGCUUGCCAAAUUGAGUUGCUUUCUCGCUGCCAGAAAAAGUCAGUACUCCCUAGUGUUGAAUCAGUAUUUACAUGCUUGCAAAUAUUGGUCUGAAUCUGCGAUGCUCCCUAAAGUUGACUAAAUCUCAUGGAGUAGAUUUCAUUUUACCAAUUGGUCUGAAUCUAUUUAUAUGCUUUACUGAAUUUUGCUUGGUGCUGUCGCCGUCGGACUCUCAUGCUGAAUCAGGUGGACAAUGCAUUCUUUGCCAGUUCAUUUUACCAAUUCAUGUUGAAUUGUUGUUUAGUUGUAAUUCCUUUUACUGUCCCAUGCACAAGUGAUAUUCAUGUCCAGCCAAAUGAUAUCUUGUGCUUUCCAAAGUGAUAUAUACCCAACUGCUUAUAUACGUAUUUUGUUCUUAACUGUAGAUUUCCUCUCAUAGUAGCUCCAUGCAAAAGAAGGUUGAAAGGAGAAGGAGA
rnacentral:lncRNA from 1 species